UUGCUGGUAAUCCUAAGGAAGAUGAGGAAGCAUCCGAGGAGAUGGAUACUAAAUCUGAAAGUAAAUCAAAUGGUGCAGCAGGAAACAUUGGAGGUCCAAAGAUAAGUCCAAAGCCUGCAGAAUCUAAAUCAGAUUGUGCAUCAGGAAACAUCGGAGGUCCAACGAUGACAUCAACGCCUACAGAAAGUAAAUCAGAUGCAAGAAGCAUGAAGAGUACACAGGUGGCUCCAAAACCUGCAGCAAGUAAAUCAGAUGGUUGAUGGUUGUUCUAUAAAUGGGUAUGUCAUAUGUGUUAAUUGGAUGGCUGAUCUUAACUACUGUAAUUACUUAUGCGAGUUUGUGGAAUAACUUUUUAUUUUAGUUAUGAAUGCUAAAACAUGUUAUAAGCAACCUCAUACGAAAUUGA